rnacentral:rRNA from 1 species
CACGUAGUUGGCCGGUCCUUCUUCUGCACAUACCGUCACUUGCGCUUCGUCUGUGCUGAAAGAGGUUUACAACCCGAAGGCCGUCAUCCCUCACGCGGCGUUGCUGGAUCAGGCUUCCGCCCAUUGUCCAAUAUUCCCCACUGCUGCCUCCCGUAGGAGUCUGGGCCGUGUCUCAGUCCCAGUGUGGCCGGUCACCCUCUCAGGCCGGCUACCCGUCGAAGCCUUGGUAGGCCAUUACCCCACCAACAAGCUGAUAGGCCGCGAGCACAUCCCUGGCCGAAAAAACUUUCCACACACGCACCAUGCAGUGAUGUGUCGUAUCCGGUAUUAAUCACCGUUUCCGGUGGCUAUCCCGAAGCCAAGGGCAGAUUACUCACGUGUUACUCACCCGUUCGCCGCUCGAGUACCCCCGAAGGAGCCUUUCCGCUCGACUUGCAUGUGUUAAGCACGCCGCCAGCGUUCGUCCUGAGCCAGGAUCAAACUCU